CCUACGGGUGGCAGCAGUGGGGAAUAUUGGGCAAUGGAGGCAACUCUGACCCAGCAACGCCGCGUGAGUGAUGAAGGUCUUCGGAUUGGAAAACUCCUUAAGUGGGGACGAAGAAAGUGAAAGUAGUUACAGUAUAAGUCUCGGCUAACUACAAGCAAGCAGCCGCGGUAAUACGGAGGAGGCAAGCGUUAUCCGGAUUGACUGGGCGUAAAGGGUGCGUAGGUGGUUCGGGAAGUUAGUGGGGAAAUUCCGUGGCUGAACCACGAAACUGCCGCUGAAAUUGGUGGGCUUGAGUACAUGUGAGGUAGGCGGAAUGCGUGGUGUAGCGGUGAAAUGCAUAGAGAUUAGGCAGAACACCGAUGGCGAAGGCAGUUUACUAAACUAUAACUGACACUGAAGCACGAAAGCGUGGGGAGCAAACAGGAUUAGAUACCCCUGUAGUC
rnacentral:rRNA from 1 species